GCCCAAAUGGCGAAAUGGAUAACGCGUCUGACUCCUAAUCAGAAGAUUCCGGGUUCGAGUCCCGGUUUGGGUA